UGACUUCUAUAGUUUUAAUCUUAAACCCAAAGGUAGUUCGGUGUCCUAUGCUAAAUGCUAAGGUAAUGGUUUGUCAGCUCAUUUUGUGUAGAUAACUAAUAAAAGAAAGAUUCACUGCACCACGGCCGUCUUCAUCCCAAAAUCCAGAGAAAAGUAAGAGUAGUUUAUUACUCUAAAUCCCCAAGUUUGAAAUAAUGUAGUCAAUCAAUUUUUUGAUUGAAUGAAUAUUAUGGUAUUGUGUAGAGAUUCGUUAUUUUAAGAAUAUUUGAGAAUGAAGAUAUUGAGAAAUUUAGAAAGCAUUAUGUAUAUGAUAGUGUAGUGUGAUAACUUUGAAAUCCGGUGAAACAAGGAGUGAUUGAGGUUUCAUGGAUGUCCUAGGCAUCGAGAGGAAGAAGAUGAGUUUUUUUUUGGGGCGGGUAGCAAGUUGGGUUUAUAACCCGUUAGGCCUGGAUUUGAAAGCUCUAGCAAUAUGGGUCAGACCAAGCCCAGUAAGCCUCUGGGUUUGAUUUUUUUUUUUGAAAA
rnacentral:lncRNA from 1 species